AUACGUAGGUGGCAAGCGUUGUCCGGAAUUAUUGGGCGUAAAGCGCGCGCAGGCGGUCCUUUAAGUCUGAUGUGAAAGCCCACGGCUCAACCGUGGAGGGUCAUUGGAAACUGGGGGACUUGAGUGCAGAAGAGGAAAGUGGAAUUCCAAGUGUAGCGGUGAAAUGCGUAGAGAUUUGGAGGAACACCAGUGGCGAAGGCGACUUUCUGGUCUGUAACUGACACUGAGGCGCGAAAGCGUGGGGAGCAAACAGGAUUAGAUACCCUGGUAGUCCACGCCGUAAACGAUGAGUGCUAAGUGUUGGGGGGUUUCCGCCCCUCAGUGCUGCAGCUAACGCAUUAAGCACUCCGCCUGGGGAGUACGGUCGCAAGACUGAAACUCAAAGGAAUUGACGGGG
rnacentral:rRNA from 1 species